rnacentral:rRNA from 1 species
AUAAUGGGUCAGCGACUUAUAUUCUGUAGCAAGGUUAACCGAAUAGGGGAGCCGAAGGGAAACCGAGUCUUAACUGGGCGUUAAGUUGCAGGGUAUAGACCCGAAACCCGGUGAUCUAGCCAUGGGCAGGUUGAAGGUUGGGUAACACUAACUGGAGGACCGAACCGACUAAUGUUGAAAAAUUAGCGGAUGACUUGUGGCUGGGGGUGAAAGGCCAAUCAAACCGGGAGAUAGCUGGUUCUCCCCGAAAGCUAUUUAGGUAGCGCCUCGUGAAUUCAUCUCCGGGGGUAGAGCACUGUUUCGGCAAGGGGGUCAUCCCGACUUACCAACCCGAUGCAAACUGCGAAUACCGGAGAAUGUUAUCACGGGAGACACACGGCGGGUGCUAACGUCCGUCGUGAAGAGGGAAACAACCCAGACCGCCAGCUAAGGUCCCAAAGUCAUGGUUAAGUGGGAAACGAUGUGGGAAGGCCCAGACAGCCAGGAUGUUGGCUUAGAAGCAGCCAUCAUUUAAAGAAAGCGUAAUAGCUCACUGGUCGAGUCGGCCUGCGCGGAAGAUGUAACGGGGCUAAAUCAUGCACCGAAGCUGCGGCAGCGACGCUUAUGCGUUGUUGGGUAGGGGAGCGUUCUGUAAGCCUGUGAAGGUGUACUGUGAGGUAUGCUGGAGGUAUCAGAAGUGCGAAUGCUGACAUAAGUAACGAUAAAGCGGGUGAAAAGCCCGCUCGCCGGAAGACCAAGGGUUCCUGUCCAACGUUAAUCGGGGCAGGGUGAGUCGACCCCUAAGGCG